rnacentral:misc_RNA from 1 species
CUCUUUUAAAACUCACCAGGGACUUCCCACAGAGGCAUGAAAAAUAUCAGUCCUGGGCAGGGACUUUCCACCUAUGUCUGAAAAAGAACAAGUAUCCUGAUUCACGCUCUACAUUCAUUAAGCAUGCUGGAUCUUACUUGAAAAGGGGAGAGUUCUUGUCAAUCCACACAGCUAUCACCUGUUUCUUUCUACAAAUUUCAGCACGUUUCCUGUGGCAGGGUAAGUAUAAGUGUCAUUUCUUCAACGGGACGGAGCGGGUGCAGUUCCUGGAAAGACUCUUCUAUAACCAGGAGGAGUUCGUGCGCUUCGACAGCGACGUGGGGGAGUACCGGGCGGUGACGGAGCUAGGGCGGCCUGUCGCCGAGUCCUGGAACAGCCAGAAGGACAUCCUGGAGGACAGGCGGGGCCAGGUGGACACCGUGUGCAGACACAACUACGGGGUUGGUGAGAGCUUCACAGUGCAGCGGCGAGUCCAUCCUGAGGUGACUGUGUAUCCUGCCAAGACUCAGCCCCUGCAGCACCACAACCUCCUGGUCUGCUCUGUGAGUGGUUUCUAUCCAGGCAGCAUUGAAGUCAGGUGGUUCCGGAACGGCCAGGAAGAGAAGGCUGGGGUGGUGUCCACAGGCCUGAUCCAGAAUGGAGACUGGACCUUCCAGACCCUGGUGAUGCUGGAAACAGUUCCUCGGAGUGGAGAAGUUUACACCUGCCAAGUGGAGCACCCAAGUGUGAUGAGCCCUCUCACAGUGGAAUG